UCCUUUUGACCAGUGUGUGCUUUGUGUCAAAUUUUCUCUUCACCGGUUUGUUUUUAAGUCACCGAACGGAGGGAUUCAGCUAACUACAACGUUAUUUCCUGUCUUCCGAUCGUUCUCGAAUUUUUGUCGCAUAUUAACGAAGAAAAUUAAGUGGAAUUUUUAGUGACGUUAACAAUUUUUACUUCAAUAAUGGCGAGCAAAAAUAAAAACCAAAAGAAAGUUAGUCCACGAGGACAAAUAUUUUAUGUAAUUCAUCGUUUAAUCGAAUUCAUUGCCAAAUGUAUAUUUUCAUUAGCAGCUUAUAUUCGUGGGCCAAAAGAAGGUCAACCACCUAUAAACGAUUUAACACUUUUACAUAGUGCAACUACGUUAGCUUUUAAAAUUAGAAAUAAACAAUUAACUUCCGAGCAAGUAGUAAAGUCGUAUAUUGAGAGAAUACAAGAGAUUCAACCAGUAUUAAAUUGUGUAGUUGAAGAUCGUUUUGAGGAAGCUCUCUUAGAAGCUAAAAAAUGCGACGAGAUGUUGGAAUCUCCUAAUGCACCAUCUGCGAAAGUUCUUGCCAAAGAAAAACCUUUCCUAGGUGUUCCAUUUACAACCAAGGACUGUAUUGCUAUAAAAAAUAUGAAACAAACGGCUGGUCUGGUUUUACGAAAAAAUAUUGUCUCAGAGAAAGAUGCAGAAGUAGUAAGAUUGAUGAGAGAAGCUGGAGCUAUUCCAUUAGCAAAAACGAAUGUUUCAGAAAUUGCUAUGUGGUGGGAAACCCAUAAUUGUUUAUACGGUACCACGAAGAAUCCGUAUAACACUAGACAUAUAGUAGGUGGUUCUUCCGGAGGUGAGGGCUGCAUACAAGCAGCUGCCGGUUCACCAUUAGGAAUAGGAUCUGAUAUUGGCGGCUCUAUUCGCAUGCCAUGCUUUUUCAAUGGAAUUUUUGGUCAUAAACCUUCCAAAGGUAUUGUUUCUACUGAUGGUCAAUAUCCAAGUGCACACAACGAAGAUCAAAAUCAAUUACUUGGGAUAGGCCCAAUGUGUAGAUUUGCACAGGAUAUGAAACCUGUUCUUAAAAUAAUAGCUGAUAAAAAUGCGGAUAAAUUGAAUUUAGACGACAAAGUUGAUGUUUCGAAACUCAAAUUUUAUUACAUGGAGGAUGACGGAGGACAAUAUUUUAUAUCGCCUGUAAACGAGGAAAUAAAAUGUGCUAUGAGAAAAGUGCUUCUUCAUUUUGAGAAAGUGUAUAAAAUAAAACCUACGAAGUUACAAGUACGAAAAUUAAAAAAAAGCGCUAAUCUGUGGUUCGCAAAUAUGACAUCAAAAGGCGACAAAGAUUUUUCCUACGAAUUGGCUAACAGGAACGGACGUAUUAAUAUUUGGUGGGAAUUUAUAAAGUGGUUAAUGUUCCUAAGCAAUCAUACGUUCAUUGCUCUAAUAACAGUAGCAUUUGAGAGGUUAGGUAUAAGACAUGGGAGUGAGCAAUACACAAAACUCAUACAAGAAAGUAGAGACCUUUACCAAGAAUUUCAGGAUCGGACUUCUUCUCUUGACUGUUUUGCAAUGUAUUUGCAAUGAAAAUAGCCAGAUAUGAUUUGUUCUUGCCAUAGAAUCAUGGAUCGUAUGUGAUCAUUUCUUAAUGGACAUGAUUUUUAUUUCCUCACGAGUCCAACGUAAAUCUGACGUGGAUAAAGCAAUAUUUCUAUGGAUAUUUUGGGAGAAGACGGUGUUUUCUUGUAUCCAACUCAUCCAACGGCAGCGCCGUUACAUCAUGAACCACUUGUAAAACCAUUUA
rnacentral:misc_RNA from 1 species